CGGUAUCUAGCAUUUCAUCGAGGUCUUCUUUAAGACCUUUAGAACAAUUUUUGGAAACCCUGUCUCAUUAAUUGGGGCAGGGUA
rnacentral:snRNA from 18 species